ensembl:lncRNA
CUUCAGUGAAGGUUGAACACAGUCAGAAGCCGCAGUCUGCUUGUACAGGCCAGAAGAAUACAGCAUCUGAGAAACAAAAUAAAAGUGAGGAAGCAGAAGCCGGUGAAGGCAAACAGCAUGUCUCAUUUCCUACAACGAAAAAAAAUCAAAAUCAGAAACCGCAGAAUUCAACACAGGACAUGGUGUUUGGCCCACAGAAUAAACCUAAGAAGAAUCACGAUUCCAGUGGCGAUUCUUCAGUGAAGGUUGAACACAGUCAGAAGCCGCAGUCUGCUUGUACAGGCCAGAAGAAUACAGCAUCUGAGAAACAAAAUAAAAGUGAGGAAGCAGAAACCAGUGAAGGCAAACAGCAUGUCUCAUUUCCUAAAACAAAAAAAAAUCAGAAUCAGGAACCACAGAAUUCAUCACAAGACACGGUGUUAGGCCCACAGAAUAAAUCUAAGAAGAAUCACAGUUCCAGUGGAGAUUCACC